UCCCCUACAAGAAAAAGAGUUUGUCUCUAACAAACACUAAUACUACCUACAAACUAGAGCAUAUCAGUCUUGCCAAAGUUAUUCUCACUUGGGCUAUUUAGGAACUCCCUAACUAGCCAAAACCAUCAAACCAAUUGGGACAACCUUUUUUCAGUAAGUCCUUUCCAUACCCGUUCCCUAUCCUGAACGAAACCCCUGC
rnacentral:lncRNA from 1 species